rnacentral:rRNA from 1 species
UACGAAGGGGGCUAGCGUUGCUCGGAAUCACUGGGCGUAAAGGGUGCGUAGGCGGGUCUUUAAGUCAGGGGUGAAAUCCUGGAGCUCAACUCCAGAACUGCCUUUGAUACUGAGGAUCUUGAGUUCGGGAGAGGUGAGUGGAACUGCGAGUGUAGAGGUGAAAUUCGUAGAUAUUCGCAAGAACACCAGUGGCGAAGGCGGCUACCUGGACAAAUACUGACGCUGAGGCGCGAGAGCGUGGGGAGCAAACAGG